rnacentral:misc_RNA from 1 species
GUGAGCUUCUUACUGGUGUUGUCCCAUAUACUGAUCUUCGUGCUGAAGCUCAGGCUUAUACUGUAUUGGAGAUGAACUAUACUAAGCAGCAACUUACUGCAGNNNNNNNNNNNNNGCGACCUGUUCUUGCCGGUCCUGAGUCAGGGGCAUCCACAAGUAUGCUGACAUUGAUACAGAGGUGUUGGGAUGAAAAUCCUCAGAAUAGGCCUUCUUUUAGUGAUAUCAUUUUGGAAAUUUGUCCAAUUUUGGAGCACAGAAAAAAAUCAAUGGAAGAAAAUUUUGCCCCUG